rnacentral:rRNA from 1 species
GGUAUGCUUAACACAUGAAGUUUAACGGCUUUUGCCGUGACGUACGGGUGAGUAACGCGUGAGUUAUCUACACUUAGAGGGGAAUAACAAAUGGAAACGUUUGCUAAUACCCCAUAAUGCUUACUAAAGUUAAAGUUAUUUCGCCUAGGUAUGAGCUUGCGUCCGAUUAGCUUGUUGGUAAGGUAAUGGCUUACAAGGCAACGAUCGGUAGUUGUUUCGAGAGAAAGAACAGCCACACUGGGACUGAGAUACGAACAGACUUCUACGGAAGGCAGCAGUGGGGAAUUUUUGGCAAUGGGUGAGAGCCUGACCAGCAAUACCGCGUGGAGGAAGAAGGUUUUAGGAUUGUAAACUCCUUUUUUCAUUGAAGAAAUAUGACGGUAAAUGAAGAAUAAGCAUCAGCUAAUUUCGUGCCAGCAGCCGCGGUAAU